rnacentral:rRNA from 1 species
AGAACCCCGGCGAGGGGAGUGAAAAAGAACCUGAAACCGUGUACGUACAAGCAGUGGGAGCACGCUUAGGCGUGUGACUGCGUACCUUUUGUAUAAUGGGUCAGCGACUUAUAUUCUGUAGCAAGGUUAACCGAAUAGGGGAGCCGAAGGGAAACCGAGUCUUAACUGGGCGUUAAGUUGCAGGGUAUAGACCCGAAACCCGGUGAUCUAGCCAUGGGCAGGUUGAAGGUUGGGUAACACUAACUGGAGGACCGAACCGACUAAUGUUGAAAAAUUAGCGGAUGACUUGUGGCUGGGGGUGAAAGGCCAAUCAAACCGGGAGAUAGCUGGUUCUCCCCGAAAGCUAUUUAGGUAGCGCCUCGUGAAUUCAUCUCCGGGGGUAGAGCACUGUUUCGGCAAGGGGGUCAUCCCGACUUACCAACCCGAUGCAAACUGCGAAUACCGGAGAAUGUUAUCACGGGAGACACACGGCGGGUGCUAACGUCCGUCGUGAAGAGGGAAACAACCCAGACCGCCAGCUAAGGUCCCAAAGUCAUGGUUAAGUGGGAAACGAUGUGGGAAGGCCCAGACAGCCAGGAUGUUGGCUUAGAAGCAGCCAUCAUUUAAAGAAAGCGUAAUAGCUCACUGGUCGAGUCGGCCUGCGCGGAAGAUGUAACGGGGCUAAACCAUGCACCGAAGCUGCGGCAGCGACGCUGAUGCGUUGUUGGGUA